UGCGUGUGUUAAGAAAUAGCGGAAGUUCUUGGAACACCCAGCAGGCAUGGGAUAUCAGCUAGAACUGCUUGUCUAUGCUGUGUCACCGGCAUACAUGCCUGCUUGCGUUUUGCCUGACUCUCGCCUUCAUAUAGUCUACUUACCGUGUUGGAUGGACUCUCAUUAUAACUUUUCAAAACAGAUACUAGCUUCAACACGCAGGACAAUUUUCUAAAGCUUCGCGAAUAUAGCAGUAAUACUGAGUGCCAAACCAGGGAGUAAAACUAUUAUACAUAUAUAUAUAUAUAAAUACAUUACUUUCACGCCCGUAUGUACGAUAUAUAGAUAAAUAUAUUUUUAUAAAUUAUAUUUAUUUAUAUACGUGGUUGUGAGAAAGAACUUGAGUGAUAAAACAAACGUAAAUGGAUUAACCUGGAUUAAAAAGGAUUACUUUCAAAUAUGGAUUUACGUGCCUGGACAGUACCUUUGGCGACAAGCUGGUUUGUGGUUCUUAUGUUAUUAUUGGAUGUUUCAAUUGGAUCCACUGCAGAUUUGCACGCGCCGUGUUACGCUUGUCGCAUAUUCAACAUCAUGCAGAGGGACAAUCCCAAACAUGACCCAAAGGUAAGUUCAGUUCCAUUCUAUGUCCGAUAGUGGUAAGUACUAAACCAAUUCACUAAAUAUAAAUCAGCGAAUUAAAAAAGAGUGGUGUGUUGUGUGAUGUGUUUGAUAUUAGCGAGUGUUUACGCGCAUAUAG